UACGUAGGGGGCAAGCGUUGUCCGGAAUCAUUGGGCGUAAAGGGCGCGUAGGCGGCACAGCAAGUCGGGAGUGAAAGCCCGGGGCUCAACCCCGGAAUGGCUUUCGAAACUGCUGAGCUAGAGUACAGAAGGGGCAACCGGAAUUCCCAGUGUAGCGGUGAAAUGCGUAGAUAUUGGGAAGAACACCUGAGGCGAAGGCGGGUUGCUGGGCUGAUACUGACGCUGAGGCGCGAAAGCCAGGGGAGCAAACGGG
rnacentral:rRNA from 1 species